UGGGGAAUUUUGCACAAUGGGGGAAACCCUGAUGCAGCGACGCCGCGUGAUUUAGAUGGCCUUCGGGUUGUAAAAAUCUUUUCUAUGGGAAGAAAAUGACAGUACCAUAGGAAUAAGGACCGGCUAAUUACGUGCCAGCAGCCGCGGUAAUACGUAAGGUCCGAGCGUUGUCCGGAAUCAUUGGGCGUAAAGGGUACGUAGGCGGGUAAGCAAGUUAGAAGUGAAAUCCUAUAGCUCAACUAUAGUAAGCUUUUAAAACUGCUCAUCUUGAGGUAUGGAAGGGAAAGUGGAAUUCCUAGUGUAGCGGUGAAAUGCGCAGAUAUUAGGAGGAAUACCGGUGGCGAAGGCGACUUUCUGGCCAUAACCUGACGCUGAGGUACGAAAGCGUGGGUAGCAAACAGG
rnacentral:rRNA from 1 species